ACUAUCUUGGCAGAUUUGAAGUGCAACAGAUUUAGAAUCUGUAAAUAUGUUAUAACAUAGUUAGUA
rnacentral:tRNA from 1 species